rnacentral:rRNA from 1 species
UAAUACGUAGGGUCCGAGCGUUGUCCGGAAUUAUUGGGCGUAAAGGGCUCGUAGGCGGUUUGUCACGUCGGGAGUGAAAACUUGGGGCUUAACCCCAUUCGUGCUUCCGAUACGGGCAGACUAGAGGCAGGCAGGGGAGAACGGAAUUCCUGGUGUAGCGGUGGAAUGCGCAGAUAUCAGGAGGAACACCGGUGGCGAAGGCGGUUCUCUGGGCCUGUUCUGACGCUGAGGAGCGAAAGCAUGGGGAGCGAACAGGAUUAGAUACCCUGGUAGUCCAUGCCGUAAACGUUGGGCGCUAGGUGUGGGAUCCAUUCCACGGGUUCCGUGCCGCAGCUAACGCAUUAAGCGCCCCGCCUGGGGAGUACGGCCGCAAGGCUA